AUUGAACGCUGGCGGCAUGCUUUACACAUGCAAGUCGAACGGUAACAGGCCUUCGGGUGCUGACGAGUGGCGAACGGGUGAGUAAUGCAUCGGAACGUGCCCAGAGGUGGGGGAUAACGCAGCGAAAGCUGUGCUAAUACCGCAUGUGAUCUGAGGAUGAAAGCGGGGGACCAGGCAGCAAUGUUUGGCCUCGCGCCUUUGGAGCGGCCGAUGUCAGAUUAGGUAGUUGGUGGGGUAAAGGCCUACCAAGCCGACGAUCUGUAGCUGGUCUGAGAGGACGACCAGCCACACUGGGACUGAGACACGGCCCAGACUCCUACGGGAGGCAGCAGUGGGGAAUUUUGGACAAUGGGCGCAAGCCUGAUCCAGCAAUGCCGCAUGCGGGAAGAAGGCCUUCGGGUUGUAAACCGCUUUUGUACGGAACGAAAAGGCUCUGGCUAAUACCUGGGGCUGAUGACGGUACCGUAAGAAUAAGCACCGGCUAACUACGUG
rnacentral:rRNA from 1 species